UCCCUAGUGGCUCAGAUGGUAAAGCAUCUGCCUAUAAUGCAGGAGACCUGGGUUCAAUCCCUGGAUUGGGAA
rnacentral:tRNA from 1 species